UGGGGAAUAUUGGGCAAUGGGCGAAAGCCUGACCCAGCAACGCCGCGUGAGGGAAGAAGGGUUUCGGCUCGUAAACCUCUGUCCUAUGGGACGAAGAAGAUGACGGUACCAUAGGAGGAAGCCCCGGCUAACUACGUGCCAGCAGCCGCGGUAAUACGUAGGGGGCGAGCGUUGUCCGGAAUGAUUGGGCGUAAAGGGCGCGUAGGCGGCCCGUUAAGUCUGGAGUGAAAGUCCUGCUUUCAAGGUGGGAAUUGCUUUGGAUACUGAUGGGCUGGAGUGCAGGAGAGGAAAGCGGAAUUACCGGUGUAGCGGUGAAAUGCGUAGAGAUCGGUAGGAACACCAGUGGCGAAGGCGGCUUUCUGGACUGAAAACUGACGCUGAGGCGCGAAAAGCGUGGGGAGCAAAACAGGAUUAGAUACC
rnacentral:rRNA from 1 species